GCCUAGCGAUUAGCUACUACAACUAUCAUACUAUUACGCGAUAUACUACUAUCUGAUAAUGUUGUUGCUUCUUCCACUAUCUUCUACUAUUCACUCUUCACAUUGUUAUCACCCCUCACACAUAUCUUCAACUAGAAUAGAAGACGUGUUGUGAUCUUGUUAUCUGCAACUGAUGAAGGAAAUGAGGUAACGAGGGCGGUGCAAUAUGAGAGACAGUAAAUUGCAUGCAUGAUUGCGAAAUAACCUGCUCUUUAAGACACAAUUCUGCUUCAAACUCAUUUAUCACCACUAUUGUAGGGAUCGCAGAAUCAACCACUAGAUUUAAACUUCAAGCAUUUGAUGACACUGAAGCACCAAAGGGCCCAUAACCUGAUGAAUGUGGAAGGUUGAUUAAUUGUAACUAUCCAGC
rnacentral:sRNA from 1 species